GUGCCAGCCGCCGCGGUAAUACAGAGGGUGCAAGCGUUGUUCGGAAUUAUUGGGCGUAAAGCGCGUGUAGGCGGCUACGUAAGUUGGGUGUGAAAGCCCUCGGCUUAACCGAGGAAGUGCGCCCAAAACUGCGAGGCUUGAGUACCGGAGAGGAUGGCGGAAUUCCCGGUGUAGAGGUGAAAUUCGUAGAUAUCGGGAGGAACACCAGCGGCGAAGGCGGCCAUCUGGACGGAUACUGACGCUGAGACGCGAAAGCGUGGGGAGCAAACAGGAUUAGAUACCCGAGUAGUCC
rnacentral:rRNA from 1 species